UACGUAGGGUGCAAGCGUUAAUCGGAAUUACUGGGCGUAAAGCGUGCGCAGGCGGUUUUGUAAGACUGUCGUGAAAUCCCCGGGCUCAACCUGGGAAUGGCGAUGGUGACUGCAAGGCUAGAGUUUGGCAGUGGGGGGUAGAAUUCCACGUGUAGCAGUGAAAUGCGUAGAUAUGUGGAGGAACACCGAUGGCGAAGGCAGCCCCCUGGGUCAAAACUGACGCUCAUGCACGAAAGCGUGGGGAGCAAACAGG
rnacentral:rRNA from 1 species